rnacentral:lncRNA from 1 species
CCCCCCCCCCCCUCACAUUUUUAAAUUAUAUAACAAUCCACUAGUAAGUUAUUAAAAAAAUUUAAAUAUUGUAAAUUUAGAGGACCAAAGUGAAAUUUUUUUGAAAAGAAUUGUUGGCUUGUGGGCCAAGACUCCAAGGCUUACGCACAGGAAUGGCCCAUAUAUAGACCAAAAGGAGUCAUGGCCCUCUUCAACUUUUCAAUAUUUACUUUAUAGUCCUUUGAUAGUUUAUAUAUUUUCAGUUAAUUUUUAAAAUAUAUCGGCCUAUUUUGUAAAACGUUUUUAGUGCUAAUAUAGAGCUCUCUCUCUUCUUAUGUGUUUUAUAGGUGAAAAUAUAUUAAGAACUUUUUAAUUAUAGUGCAUUUUGAAAUAAGUCCUUUCAACUUUAAAUAUUUUAUUUAUACAUUCUUAACUUUUCAAUUAUUUUGAUGAGCUAAUUUAUUUAACUAAAUAAAAUAGUAUGCUAAAUUUAAUAGCUCUGUUAGAUAUUAGUCAUUGGUUGUUAUUAUUUUAUUAACAAAAAUUUAAAAAAAUUAAAUUCUAACUAAAUUGCUAUUAGAUUUAGUAAAAUUCUUAAAUUAUUUGAAUGAAAUAAUGCAAAUAAAAUAAUUAGAAGUUAAGCGAGUGUAAAUUAAAGAAAUAAAUUUAAUAUUUUUUAACAUUAAUUAUCUAAUCACUAAAUUUUUUUAUUAAAAAUUUGAAUAGUUAAAAAUUUAUUUAUCUACUAAACUUUUUAUUUGUACAUAUUUUGGCCCCCCUUGUGAUUGAAUUCUGCCUUCGUCCCUGAUCAUACUAUAAUUAGACCUA